rnacentral:lncRNA from 1 species
UAACAUUCAUGAACACAUUUAUUGCGAGUAGCUCUAUGGAAAGGCAAGUCAGAUAUAUAUAUAAACACUAUACAGAGUUGCAAGGUUGUCUCCCCAAACUGCAAAUGAGAUGCUUACAAAGAAAAAAGGAAUAGAAGAGUAUUUACAAAGGAAGACAAAGCCAGAGCAACUCAAAGCAGAUCUGUGAAAGCAGAAAGAGCAAAUUAAUGAACUGUUGGAACUGGAACAUUUUAGUUUUUACUGACCAAGUUAACUAUGUCUGAUACCAAAUAAAGUGGAGAGGUCACAAAAAAUCGUUCCAUCAUUGGUUUUUCUUAACAGCAGCAUAAACUCGUAGCUGAAAGGUAAGUGAUAUGUUGGUACACUGACUCUAAAAAGAUUCUUCCAGCACAAUACUGAAUAAAUUAGUUGUGUCUGUGAACUAAGAAGUUGUGUCAUAAGAUUGCAUAUUUGUUAUGCUGUACCUGUGACUGUUUGUACCUGUUACUAUGUGUACUGUUGUGUAUGAGGUUUCCCCUUCAUUUAUUCAGCAAGUGUUACGUCUGUGCUGUACCCUGUCGGCAGCCUCUGAACCUAAUAUGCAAAUAAAGCAAGAAAGCAUUUUCCCCCCGAAUAAUCUUUUCUUUCCACAAUUCUGAACGAUUAUGACGUAACUUGAAAAAGAAAAUGGUG